rnacentral:rRNA from 1 species
GACGAACCGUGCGAACGUUGUUCGGAAUCACUGGGCUUAAAGGGCGCGUAGGCGGCCACAAAAGUCAGGGGUGAAAUCUUUCGGCUCAACCGGAAAAGUGCCUCUGAUACUGUGUGGCUCGAGGGAGGUAGGGGCAGUCGGAACAGACGGUGGAGCGGUGAAAUGCGUAGAUAUCGUCUGGAACGCCAAAGGUGAAAACAGACUGCUGGGAGUGUGCUGACGCUGAGACACGAAAGCCAGGGGAGCAAACGGG